rnacentral:rRNA from 1 species
CACGUAGGUGGCGAGCGUUAAUCGGAUUCACUGGGCGUAAAGGGUCCGCAGGGUGCCUGCCAAGUCUGCCGUGAAAUCCCGGGGCUCAACCCCGGGCCUGCGGUGGAGACUGGCGGGCUGGAGUUCGCGAUGGGCAGACGGAACACCUGGUGUAGCGGUGGAAUGCGUGGAUAUCAGGUGGAACACCGACGGCGAAGGCGGUCUGCUGGCGCGCUACUGACCCUCAUGGACGAAAGCGUGGGUAGCAAACAGGAUUAGAUACCCUGGUAGUCCACGCCGUAAACGUUGAGGACUAGAUGUGGUGGGGCUGGCCCCCUCCGCGUCCAAGCAAACGCGAUAAGUCCUCCGCCUGGGGACUACGGCCGCAAGGCUAAA